AAAAAAAAGCAGAUAUUUUUAAAGAUAAAAUGUACAAUACAUACAUUUGAAAAAGGAAAACUCUCUAUGCAGGAGAGUUCGCGUAGGGAUGCGCACGAAUUGUCUACGUGGAAAUUAAUACGGUGCGUUUCAUCCCCGUUUCACUUAAUUUCCCAAUUUUUGAAACUCAUCUCGUGCACCCCUUCCCAAUUUCCACCCUCUCCCUCCUCCAUCUUCACCCUCGUCCAUCUCUUCAAAAGAUUCAUCACAAACAUUGGAUGGGUUUCUGAACCCUAGCCCCCUCCAUGUCCCUCCUCUAUCUCCUUCGUGUCGCGCCCCGUGAUGGGUUUUUGAACUCUAAGCAGAAGCAGUGGCUUCUCAUUGACACACUGCGGCAGCUUGAGGUCAAUUUGUGAACUAUCUAAAAUUUGUAACAUCGGCUUCGAGCAAGGAAUAGAAUUGGGCUAUAGAGAUGUCUUUCUUCUCAGUUCAGUUAUUGCUGUACUUGCAUUGGUUGGUGUAUUCCAAAUUUAGAUAUGGAGGUGGACAAAAGAACAAGAAGCUUCGGAGCCAGAAUUGAACUAGUCCCUUUGAAUAUAUAUGUUUUUACGGUUGCAGCAACAGUUUUUGCUCACAAUAUUCUAAUGUUUUAGAGCCUUCGACGCUUGAUAGAGGAGAAAGAUGCAAUGUAUGGGUAUAAUGGACUGAAAUACUUCUCAAUAAUUGCAGCACUUGCCAUGAGGACAACUUAUGAUUUACAAAGGGGGAUGACUUGGAAGAUAAUGGCAGUGAGUUCAGGUGUUGCAACCAUCAUUGCCACAUAUUGGGACAUUGUCAUAGAUUGGGGUCUUUUGAGAAGGGUAUCUGAUACGAUCAAAAUGAAGCCCCACUUGAUGGAAACUUUCUAUAUUGUACGUAAGGGACUAUUUGGAAUGUAGUGUAUUAUAGAACUAUUUGGAACGUUGUUGUCACUGGAUAUAGGUUGAUUUAAAUCACUAUUAAGUGGGACAAAUGGCAUACUUUCUUGAUUUAACUA